CAGCAGCCGCGGUAAUACAGAGGGUGCGAGCGUUAAUCGGAUUUACUGGGCGUAAAGCGUGCGUAGGCGGCUUUUUAAGUCGGAUGUGAAAUCCCUGAGCUUAACUUAGGAAUUGCAUUCGAUACUGGGAAGCUAGAGUAUGGGAGAGGAUGGUAGAAUUCCAGGUGUAGCGGUGAAAUGCGUAGAGAUCUGGAGGAAUACCGAUGGCGAAGGCAGCCAUCUGGCCUAAUACUGACGCUGAGGUACGAAAGCAUGGGGAGCAAACAGGAUUAGAUACCCCAGUGUCCCUGUCUCUUAUACC
rnacentral:rRNA from 1 species